AGGGGGACAACAGUUGGAAACGACUGCUAAUACCGCAUAAGCCCACGGCUCGGCAUCGAGCAGAGGGAAAAGGAGUGAUCUGCUUUGAGAUGGCCUCGCGUCCGAUUAGCUGGUUGGUGAGGUAACGGCCCACCAAGGCGACGAUCGGUAGCCGGACUGAGAGGUUGAACGGCCACAUUGGGACUGAGACACGGCCCAGACUCCUACGGGAGGCAGCAGUGGGGAAUAUUGCACAAUGGGGGAAACCCUGAUGCAGCGACGCCGCGUGGAGGAAGAAGGUCUUCGGAUUGUAAACUCCUGUUGUUGAGGAAGAUAAUGACGGUACUCAACAAGGAAGUGACGGCUAACUACGUGCCAGCAGCCGCGGUAAAACGUAGGUCACAAGCGUUGUCCGGAAUUACUGGGUGUAAAGGGAGCGCAGGCGGGAGAACAAGUUGGAAGUGAAAUCCAUGGGCUCAACCCAUGAACUGCUUUCAAAACUGUUUUUCUUGAGUAGUGCAGAGGUAGGCGGAAUUCCCGGUGUAGCGGUGGAAUGCGUAGAUAUCGGGAGGAACACCAGUGGCGAAGGCGGCCUACUGGGCACCAACUGACGCUGAGGCUCGAAAGUGUGGGUAGCAAACAGGA
rnacentral:rRNA from 1 species